rnacentral:rRNA from 1 species
CCUACGGGAGGCAGCAGUGAGGAAUUUUCCGCAAUGGGCGAAAGCCUGACGGAGCAAUACCGCGUGGAGGAUGACGGCCUGUGGGUCUUAAACUCCUUUUCUUAGAGAAGAAGAUCUGACGGUAUCUAAGGAAUAAGCAUCGGCUAACUCCGUGCCAGCAGCCGCGGUAAUACGGGGGAUGCAAGCGUUAUCCGGAAUGAUUGGGCGUAAAGCGUCUGUAGGUGGCUUUGCAAGUCAACUGUCAAAAAUCAAGGCUUAACCUUGAGCAGGCAUUUGAAACUAUGAGGCUUGAGUUAGGUAGGGGCAGAGGGAAUUCCUAGUGUAGCGGUGAAAUGCGUAGAUAUUAGGAAGAACACCAACGGCGAAAGCACUCUGCUGGGCCAUGACUAACACUGAGAGACGAAAGCUAGGGGAGCAAAUCGGAUUAGAUACCCGAGUAGUCCUAGCUGUAAACGAUGGAUACUAAGUUCUGGGCGACUAAAAACGUUCAGUGCUGUAGCUAACGCGUUAAGUAUCCGCCUGGGGAGUACGCUCGCAAGAGUGAAACUCAAGGAAUUGACGG